rnacentral:rRNA from 1 species
AUUGGAAGGGGUGUAUUUAUUAGAUAAAAAACCAAUGCCCUUCGGGGCUCUUUGGUGAUUCAUGAUAACUCCUCGAACCGCGUGGCCUUGCGCCGGCGAUGGUUCAUUCAAAUUUCUUCCCUAUCAACUUUCGAUGUUUGGGUAUUGGCCAAACAUGGUUGCAACGGGUAACGGAGGGUUAGGGCUCGACCCCGGAGAAGGAGCCUGAGAAACGGCUACUACAUCCAAGGAAGGCAGCAGGCGCGCAAAUUACCCAAUCCCGACUCGGGGAGGUAGUGACAAUAAAUACUGAUACAGGGCUCUUUUGGGUCUUGUAAUUGGAAUGAGUACAAUUUAAAUCCCUUAACGAGGAACAAUUGGAGGGCAAGUCUGGUGCCAGCAGCCGCGGUAAUUCCAGCUCCAAUAGCGUAUAUUAAAGUUGUUGUGGUUAAAAAGCACGUAGUUGAACCUUGGGCCUGGCUGGCCGGUCCGCCUCACCGCGUGUACUGGUCCGGCCGGGCCUUUCCCUCUGUGGAACCCCAUGCCCUUCACUGGGUGUGGCGGGGAACCAGGACUUUUAC